AAUCUGUGAUGAAAAGCUGUCCUUAGGCAUGCAGUUCAGGCUGUUUUGGCCCUUGUUUUUGCUGCCUGCCAGUGAUAGGCCUGUCAUAGUUACACUGAUGGAUU
ensembl:snoRNA